UUAGGGUUGUAUGGUUUUUAAAGAUGACGCGUCUCUUUGUUGAUCUACCACGCGUCUCCACCACAGCUUUGAACCCACGUGUCCCACAAAAGCUCGGUUACCCAUUUUCACACCAUCUCUACCAAAGCUCCGAUCACUUCUCUCUCUCAUCUAUAGAAGGACGACGGUGGUUUUGCGGUGGCGACGCUGCGACAAUGGACAAUGGUGCUAGGUUCACUCAAGCGAACGAUGACGGCAGUACUAGCGGCUAGGGUUCAGAUUUGUUACCGGUAACUAGGGUUUCUACCAGGUCUAGGGUUGACUCCAUCGUUGAUUGAGGUAAGAUAAGAUUGUUUUGAUCAUUUCAUUUGGUUGUAUAGUUACUUUCCAACCCACCAUGUUAUUCAUCUGUAACUCUGACGAGAGGAAGAAGAAGAGUGUGAGGAAAGCGGAGAUGGUAGUUUGGAGGAGCUGUAUAGAGGAUCAAAGAGGAAAAUGCAGCUUUGGAGAAUUGUGUUUUUGAUGAUACGGAGGAGGAGGAUUUUCAAUGCUCUUAACUUCUUAAGGUAAAUAACCAUCAAGAAAAUGUUAGAUAUGGGACGAGCUUCGGUAUGUUAAUAUGUACGGCUAGACCAGUUGGACCAGAUGCUUAACGAAGAUGGGAUAACCGAUUGUGUCACGAAGAUACAUUAGCAUAGGUAUGGCGCAUUAGGUUUAGUCUUUUAGCAUAGAAAAAAUUGUUACAAUUGUAGUUUUUGUGAAGUGUUGUAAUAGCAAUUAGUAUUUAAAUGUGUUCACGAAGGAAAAUUGGCCGGCGAUAUUGUGGCAGUUAUGGACUUAUCACAGAUGAACCUUAUACAGUGUAAGUUUGUAGCAGAUACGUUUCUAAAUCUUGACUCUGGAUGUAAU